rnacentral:rRNA from 1 species
AAUCAACGCUGGCGGCGUGCCUAACACAUGCAAGUCGUACGAGAAAGAGGGGGCAACCCCUUGAGUACAGUGGCGUACGGGUGAGUAACACGUGACUAACCUACCUUCGAGUGGGGAAGUAACCUACGGGAAACCGGGGACGUAAGACCGCAUAAUAAUCUUUGGGUUUAAAGUUACCUUGAUGAUCAAAUAGCGCAAGCAGCUUGAAGAGGGGGUCGGCGGUUGAUUAGCUAGUUGGUGGGGUAAGU